rnacentral:rRNA from 1 species
GCCGAAGGGAAACCGAGUCUUAACUGGGCGUUAAGUUGCAGGGUAUAGACCCGAAACCCGGUGAUCUAGCCAUGGGCAGGUUGAAGGUUGGGUAACACUAACUGGAGGACCGAACCGACUAAUGUUGAAAAAUUAGCGGAUGACUUGUGGCUGGGGGUGAAAGGCCAAUCAAACCGGGAGAUAGCUGGUUCUCCCCGAAAGCUAUUUAGGUAGCGCCUCGUGAAUUCAUCUCCGGGGGUAGAGCACUGUUUCGGCAAGGGGGUCAUCCCGACUUACCAACCCGAUGCAAACUGCGAAUACCGGAGAAUGUUAUCACGGGAGACACACGGCGGGUGCUAACGUCCGUCGUGAAGAGGGAAACAACCCAGACCGCCAGCUAAGGUCCCAAAGUCAUGGUUAAGUGGGAAACGAUGUGGGAAGGCCCAGACAGCCAGGAUGUUGGCUUAGAAGCAGCCAUCAUUUAAAGAAAGCGUAAUAGCUCACUGGUCGAGUCGGCCUGCGCGGAAGAUGUAACGGGGCUAAACCAUGCACCGAAGCUGCGGCAGCGACACUGUGUGUUGUUGGGUAGGGGAGCGUUCUGUAAGCCUGUGAAGGUGUGCUGUGAGGCAUGCUGGAGGUAUCAGAAGUGCGAAUGCUGACAUAAGUAACGAUAAAGCGGGUGAAAAGCCCGCUCGCCGGAAGACCAAGGGUUCCUGUCCAACGUUAAUCGGGGCAGGGUGAGUCGACCCCUAAGGCGAGGCCGAAAGGCGUAGUCGAUGGGAAACAGGUUAAUAUUCCUGUACUUGGUGUUACUGCGAAGGGGGGACGGAGAAGGCUAUGUUGGCCGGGCGACGGUUGUCCCGGUUUAAGCGUGUAGGCUGGUUUUCCAGGCAAAUCCGGAAAAUCAAGGCUGAGGCGUGAUGACGAGGCACUACGGUGCUGAAGCAACAAAUGCCCUGCUUCCAGGAAAAGCCUCUAAGCAUCAGGUAACAUCAAAUCGUACCCCAAACCGACACAGGUGGUCAGGUAGAGAAUACCAAGGCGCUUGAGAGAACUCGGGUGAAGGAACUAGGCAAAAUGGUGCCGUAACUUCGGGAGAAGGCACGCUGAUAUGUAGGUGAAGUCCCUCGCGGAUGGAGCUGAAAUCAGUCGAAGAUACCAGCUGGCUGCAACUGUUUAUUAAAAACACAGCACUGUGCAAACACGAAAGUGGACGUAUACGGUGUGACGCCUGCCCGGUGCCGGAAGGUUAAUUGAUGGGGUCAGCGCAAGCGAAGCUCUUGAUCGAAGCCCCGGUAAACGGCGGCCGUAACUAUAACGGUCCUAAGGUAGCGAAAUUCCUUGUCGGGUAAGUUCCGACCUGCACGAAUGGCGUAAUGAUGGCCAGGCUGUCUCCACCCGAGACUCAGUGAAAUUGAACUCGCUGUGAAGAUGCAGUGUACCCGCGGCAAGACGGAAAGACCCCGUGAACCUUUACUAUAGCUUGACACUGAACAUUGAGCCUUGAUGUGUAGGAUAGGUGGGAGGCUUUGAAGUGUGGACGCCAGUCUGCAUGGAGCCGACCUUGAAAUACCACCCUUUAAUGUUUGAUGUUCUAACGUGGACCCGUGAUCCGGGUUGCGGACAGUGUCUGGUGGGUAGUUUGACUGGGGCGGUCUCCUCCUAAAGAGUAACGGAGGAGCACGAAGGUUGGCUAAUCCUGGUCGGACAUCAGGAGGUUAGUGCAAUGGCAUAAGCCAGCUUGACUGCGAGCGUGACGGCGCGAGCAGGUGCGAAAGCAGGUCAUAGUGAUCCGGUGGUUCUGAAUGGAAGGGCCAUCGCUCAACGGAUAAAAGGUACUCCGGGGAUAACAGGCUGAUACCGCCCAAGAGUUCAUAUCGACGGCGGUGUUUGGCACCUCGAUGUCGGCUCAUCACAUCCUGGGGCUGAAGUAGGUCCCAAGGGUAUGGCUGUUCGCCAUUUAAAGUGGUACGCGAGCUGGGUUUAGAACGUCGUGAGACAGUUCGGUCCCUAUCUGCCGUGGGCGCUGGAGAACUGAGGGGGGCUGCUCCUAGUACGAGAGGACCGGAGUGGACGCAUCACUGGUGUUCGGGUUGUCAUGCCAAUGGCACUGCCCGGUAGCUAAAUGCGGAAGAGAUAAGUGCUGAAAGCAUCUAAGCACGAAACUUGCCCCGAGAUGAGUUCUCCCUGACCCUUUAAGGGUCCUGAAGGAACGUUGAAGACGACGACGUUGAUAGGCCGGGUGUGUAAGCGCAGCGAUGCGUUGAGCUAACCGGUACUAAUGAACCGUGAGGCUUAACCUUACAACGCCGAAGGUGUUU